rnacentral:rRNA from 1 species
UAAAGCGUGCGCAGGCGGUUAUAUAAGACAGAUGUGAAAUCCCCGGGCUCAACCUGGGAACUGCAUUUGUGACUGUAUAGCUGGAGUGCGGCAGAGGGGGAUGGAAUUCCGCGUGUAGCAGUGAAAUGCGUAGAUAUGCGGAGGAACACCGAUGGCGAAGGCAAUCCCCUGGGCCUGCACUGACGCUCAUGCACGAAAGCGUGGGGAGCAAACAGGAUUAGUACCCCUGU